UACGAAGGGGGCUAGCGUUGCUCGGAAUCACUGGGCGUAAAGGGUGCGUAGGCGGGUCUUUAAGUCAGGGGUGAAAUCCUGGAGCUCAACUCCAGAACUGCCCUUUGAUACUGAAGAUCUUGAGUCCGGGAGAGGUGAGUGGAACUGCGAGUGUAGAGGUGAAAUUCGUAGAUAUUCGCAAGAACACCAGUGGCGAAGGCGGCUCACUGGCCCGGUACUGACGCUGAGGUGCGAAAGCGUGGGGAGCAAACAGG
rnacentral:rRNA from 1 species